CCGUCUUGGCAGGCGCUGCUGGGAGGAGAACUGCAUUGCUCCACGCUAUCUGAUCCUAAGGGGAGAGGAGGGGAGAUCUGCAGUGCUGCAUCACAAGACAGAUCGCAAGUUAAAGCAAGAUGGAGGCAAAUACGUUCCGAGGAGCAACAGCCGACUUCGCGUGAUGCAACCUUUGUCCAGAUCCGGAGGGCUGGGAAGAGGGGACAAAAGGACAACAGGAGGCAUCACCGUGACCUUUGGUAACGUUCGCAGAGCAGCUCCUCUAAACCUUCAUCCGUAUCUUUAUACCUAUGCGUCAGCCUUUUCCAAGAAGGCUGUAUUUCACAAUCGCUGGCAGACUGAACAGAAAACAAAGAGGCGCAUUUGCUCAGCUCUAAAUCCACAGACCCUAAUGAAAACAAGGCUUUUUAAUGCCUCUUCCCAUGUGUAACUCAUGCCGAUUAAUCAUUAGCUCCAGCCCUGCUCUAUACUGUAAUGAGGAAGGCUGAGGCUGUAUUUCAGAGGCGUUUAUAGUUCAGCCAGAAUCAGAGGAGAUGAGGAUGUACAAGAGCUAUUAUGUCACCAAGCCCCUCUACUAGCGCAUGACUAACACCAAGCAAUAAACAGAAAUCUGGUGGCCCUUUCAAAAAGUUGCUAGAUAAUCAUUGUUCUAACAAAGCUAUAUUAAUCCAGCUUUCCAGACAAAGAAAAGGAAUUCGUAAUUUAAACAUUAUUGGUUUAUUCACUGUAGAUCAAAGCACCUCUAUAAUCAAGCAGCUGAAAUGUCUCUGGGCUCUUGGCAUGGCUGCUCUGCAUGUUUCUCUCUCCCUGCAGCCCUUCCUCCUCCCCAGCUCUUCCUCCCGCACAGGCAAACAAUGCGGCCGGGUUGGGAAACGCUGCCCUCCGCCAAUGCAAGGCCAGUCUCAUUCCUCCUCCCCAGGGGCAACGUGUCACCGAGACAAAGCCCUGCUGACGGGGAGAGGAGGCGGAGGAGACGUGCCAAAGUCAUCUCUCACUGUACAACUUUCUACAGACAACCCGGGAAGCAGGCACGGCUACAGACCGCAAGCACGACUUCAUCACGGGGGUACCUCUGCCUCCUCUCAUGGUUAUUUCUCAUCAUCUGCUUCAUUUUGCCACAGACUGGGGAUUUACUCUAACCAUUCAUUUUUCUGGACUGUUUCUACCAGACAAAACCAUUUUAAACAAAGGAUGGACUACGAGAAUAUUGGCCAGCAAAUAUUCAGUAAGCAAAUGUUUCCAUAUGGAUCUAUUAUUUUAUAAACCAACUAGGAUCUUUAUUAGCUGAUACAUACAUGAUAGGAAAACAUUGCUUAAAGUCAGAGAGAGAAGUACAGUUUUUUACCUUAAACUCUCUGUUUUCCUUGAAUUACACUUUAAAUUAUAUUACCCCCUUAUUUCUCAGGCUGAGCUCUCGCCACGCUUGGGGAAACCUUUCAUACCCAGUUCUGUUGCUACUGAAUUUUACAGGUCAGUUACAUCCUGGUUUACAAAAACAUCUUCAUAAUUUUACAAGCUGGCACAACACUUCAGUCCAAAUACUACUAAAUGCAAGGCACAUUGUAAGAUCAAAAAUAAUUCAUAAGCUUUUGUGUUUGUUUCUGCAUCACUCAUUAAGAGCAUGAUCUGACAAGAUGCACUGAUACAGCAGGACAUCUGAAUAUUUUGGAUUCACUUGGAUUCACCUUGACUGAAGCCAGAUAUCUUUAGCCAUUUGAAAAGCACGGAUUUUUUCUGUGCAAUGCUCAAACUCCUUCCUCCUAGAUUAUUAUAUAACUAACACAAGUCAAGGCCUGCAUUAUUCAGUAAAACACUCACACAGUUUGAAGCUUUUCUUGGCCAAUCAUAUUCCUCUCCUUUUGUUGCUAUUUCGUAACAAAGUAAUGUGAACUGAAAUAAUACUUUUCCAGAUGUCUGUGUCUCUUCUCCUUAUUUAUAACUACCAAUCAGUCCAAAUAUUCCAUGCUGGGGACUAUUCUAGUCCUAUACUUCCCCCCCACACAAAGCAGAUCUCCAGUUACAGGGUAACACAAGAUGUACAAAUACUACAGCCACUAUAAAGCAGACUUCCAUUACCAGGUUUUUACACAGGCAUUUGCAAAUCACAAGAAGGCCCUGUAAUUGAUUACGAUAAGGGCAUUAAUAUAAUAAAAACAUACCAUAUAAAACAGCUAUAACAUGCCUGACCUAAGAUAUUGCAUACUACCAUGUUUCAUGCUUCAUUUUCACUACAGCUGCAUAAUUCACUUACCCUAUGCACAACCAGGAAAAAGAUUUAUACAGUUUCGAAUUUUUUUAGUUCUUAAAGGGAACUUCACACCAAGAGUGGAAUGAAAGGGUAUUUUUACUGCCUCGAGACCUGAGUGACACAAGCACUUAAGUCUUCAGAAUUAUGUUCUGUUUCAGCCAAUGCUUUCAACAGAGUAUCAGUUCAAAAUCUGGCAAAAUCUCUGGUCAAAUAUAAUCAUGUCUCUAGCAUGGAAGAACAACUCGAGAGCUUAUAGAUACACAGGAAUAAAUGAAUUAAAUAAAAAGAAGUUACCCAAAAACGCACAGGCAGCAUUAUUAGGUUGGGUUUCUUUCAUAAAUACUGCUCUGUAAAAGAAAGCAAACCCAGAGACAGACCAUUGAGAAGCGUGUGCACAGGGCUGGGAUGAAAAUAAUGCAAGUUAACUGAAAUGUAAUCUCAACAGAGAUACAAAACUGAAUUCCAUAGUCCUGAAAAACGACACUUCGACUUUAACAAACAUUUGAGGAACUGUCAGCUGAUGAGCUAUAAUCGCUUGUCUUUAUAAGACUGCCACUCAAAACAAACCUGGAGAAGAUUUUAAUUUGCUAAAUGAUAUCUCAAUUGCUUAUUGACAAAUUCAGAAGCUUAAUAUGGCUGACAGCCCUAGCUAGCAGCUGAACUCGAGGAAGACCAAAAGCCGUUUUUAUUUGGACAAUUCAGCGUGGUUUCUCGUUACUGAGGACCUGAUCCAAGGCCUCCUGAAGCCAGGGUCUUUGCGCUAAUUCCCAAGGGCAUCCGAUCGCGUUCUACAUGGAGCUCACGCACAAAAGGCUCCGUGUGUCAGAAGGACCUCUCGUCAACGCGUACGCACUUCAAUUUUAUUUUGAUUGUCCCGAAAACACUGUGACUUUCCAAAAUAUUUAUCUAACAAACACACCUUUUAAGGACCCAGCAAUACCACUCCUCCAAACACACCGGCUUCCCCAGCAGCUGGGGCCAAUUUUCUGAAGCAAUGCUUUUUCAAGCGAAGCAUGCAAAAGUGACAAAAAAAUACUAGGUCGAGGGUACCAGCACAAAGGCUGCCAGCAACGUAUGGAGCACUUCCAGCAGCCUCUAGAGGAAAUUCAAUGUAUGGUAUUGGCUCUCCUUAUCUCCAGCUGCUACAUCGCGUUAGAGAUGGCUAAAAAUAAAACAAAUUAAAUGUC